UACAGAGGGGGCAAGCGUUGUUCGGAAUUACUGGGCGUAAAGGGCGCGUAGGCGGCCCGCUAAGUCGAACGUGAAAUCCCCGGGCUCAACCCGGGAACUGCGUCCGAUACUGGCGGGCUUGAAUCCGGGAGAGGGAUGCGGAAUUCUAGGUGUAGCGGUGAAAUGCGUAGAUAUCUGGAGGAACACCGGUGGCGAAGGCGGCAUCCUGGACCGGCAUUGACGCUGAGGCGCGAAAGCCAGGGGAGCAAACGGG
rnacentral:rRNA from 1 species